AUGGAUGGCCGGAUGGCUACGUGCGGCAACGCGCGAGGAAAGUCCGAACACCUGCUGUGUCGCAAGACGCAACAAAAAGACAAGCCGCUAACGGCGGCCAGGGAUAAGAAUUGGGAGUCGAAGCAUUGGAGAAAUUCGUGCUCUGGUUCCUGACUCAAAACCUAGGGAAAGUACCACAGAGACAAUACUAACUCCGACGCCCUUGAGGGGUCGGAGCCAAACGUGAAAAGUGAGACGGUGUCGCAAGGCUACGUCUCUCGCUCCAUGGCGACAUGGAAGCGUGGCAAACCCUUGUCGGUGAAAGAGCAAAUUUGGUAGCUCGAUAGAGCCUCUCAGCAAUGAGAGGACUAGAUAGAUUGCCAUCGCAACAAAAUUCGGCUUAUAGGCCACUCCCUAAG
rnacentral:RNase_P_RNA from 1 species